UCCUUUCCAAAGCUCAGUGCAGGCUCCCCAAGCUGUGUGGGUCUUAAUAAGUGGCGUAGUUUUGAGGACUCGCUUUGAAUAGUCUAGAUAUUAAGACGGAUGAUUUAAAGAAUCCACAGAACUUAUUUUCAGAGCACAUUUACAUGCCUUUCAAACAGAUUUUUUUAUUAUGACGUGUCCAAGAUGAGCCUGCAGAGGUUUCGCAUUAUUUAAGAAGAGCCGUGCCGAAGUACAGAAUUGAAAUUACUUGAAAACACACAUCUGCAUUUGAAACUUUAAGCUCGCUUUCAAAAUACACUGUACAAUCCGUGUUUACUAUAAAUACAGCGAGUUAACUUCAUUGACAUGACACUUCUCGACUAAGGAAACUUGGCAAAUACGAGCUUCCGGCUUAUCCAAGUAACAGCAGACCGCAGGAUAGCGUAUCUUAUGACCUCCCUGCAUCUCCACUUAAUGAAAGAACAACAAGAAAUGUUUUGCUAGCGCAUUACUCCGCUGAAAAUAUCUGAAUAUGACUUACAUUUAAAUAUUUGCUGUCCUCUCGACUUUAUUUUAUUGGCUCUGAACAAUUGCCUUUCUUAUCGUCAGCUUGGUAAAAAUUAUUUCAAGCUUUAACAGAAAGAUGCUAUGGGACCAUGAAAAUGAGCCCACCAUGACCUUGGUCAGACCCAGCUCUGCGGAAGGUGAAUUGCGGGACCAGAGGCAAAUGGUUUAACGCAGCUCUUCUGCGUGGCCCUUGCUUGUGCAGGGUGCAUAACACUACUGGCUCCUUCCUGAAGACUCUUCUACAAAUACCUGACAGCUACGGUGAUCCUGAGAGGCCUUCAACAUGGGUGCUCGGGAAACACCGAGAAUCACUUACUCAUCUUUAGACAAUGGAUUUGCCAUAGUCUCGGUACCUGGAUGGAAGAGUCCACCAGGCUUCUUAGCCUCUAUCACAUGGAGCCUCACCCCGGUAAGGUCCAGUGCUCCUCGGUGGGCCCCAAUGACGCAGUAGAGGGCCCGAGUUCCAUUGACCACCAGGUAGACUAUCAGUCUGGAACUUGUGCAUUGGUGACAGACUCUAGCGGUCAGGAUCCAAGCAGAGAUAUCGUCUGCCAGUAGGAUGCUCUCUUCUCUAAGGAACUCUGGCUGCCACUCACCCCAGCUUUGCAUUAUGCUUCCCUUGCCAAAAACCUGCCUUCUGGUCCUCCUUUUCUACCUCUAGCCUCACCUUCUGGAUCUCAUUCCACUUUCAUAAUUUCACUCUCUGCCCCGCCAGGCAAAGCACCAAGUGCUUCUGGCUUGUGUGUGACAAGGUAUAAAAAGCACCCCAUCACUUUGCACUUUUCACCUUGUGGGUCCCCGGUAUGUAUCCCCUUGGCUAUGUAGCAGAAGUGAAACUACCAUUGUUAUUCUCAGCAGCCUCUGCAGGAACAAUGCUCAUUUAUCAGGCUCUUAGCCUGCGCACGUCCUAAGCACUAUCUCACUUAAUCUUUAGAGCAAUUCUACGGGGAAGACAAUUCUGGGAGAUUACAAGUAAAUUAUCAGAAGUGAGAGCGAUAGUAGGUCAUUUAGUUGAGCUAUAAUUCUCAGAAAAACCAACUCUGAUCAACUCCGAGUUUCAGUGGGCAUUUUUGUGCUACAGACACUAAGUUCUAAAGAUUCUUAAGCAUUGUUGCCGUUUGUGGGAUUGGAGGAUGAGGGAUCGUGUUCUAACUGAUUUUCUUAUAAAGGUCCCAGAAUCGUCCUCAACUUGACUGCUUAGUGGGACAGAGUGCAGGUCAGUAGACUCCCUCUAAGAUCUAUUGUCUGGACCCCUGGACUUGUAGUCUCAUCCUUUGAUGCUUACUAUAGAGCACUGACAGAGGGUUUUUGACUCUAGUCAGUCCUCUCCUUGUGCCUUUCUCCUGUCCAUGGAAUGCCCAUGAAUAACUUUGUGCAGCGCCCAUGUGCUGUUUUACCUCCAUGGCCUGCCUUCUGCUGGGCGUUCAAAAGUAUAUCCAUUGGAAUUACUGACAAAUUUUAGUGGACCUUUUAGCAAAAGUUAUCUUGCAAGAUGACUUCAACAGAAAAAGAAUGUGGAAGAGAAAGGAUGAAUUUUUCAGUUGCGAUAAGAUGUUAUUUACGUUAUUUACAUGUACCUAUCACCUUUGCUCUCUCCUCAAAGAGCCAUGCAAGAGAAUACAUCGAAACAUCUUUUGAGUUCUUAAGAAAAAAGACUCAAAGGUAAAGAUACACUUGACUUUGCAAAAACAUCCAAUAUGAUUCAAAAACCACCACAGCUUCCUAACUAACAUGAAACUUCCCCAUAACCAUCUAUAGGCUUGCUCUGCCUGCAAAGAGUGGGGACCGCACGAUGGUCCAAACAAACUGGGCAGAAAAUCAGGCAUUUCCUCAGAUCAGGGGAAACUGUCUAGAGAGGAUCGGUGAAAGGAGCGGUUCUGAUUCCAGAAAAGUCUCCUCCAGUUACUCACUGCAUUCUGACUACGGGGGAGAACAAGUCCUAUCACAGAAGACUUGUAGAAAAAAGGGCAGGUCAACAAUAGAAAGCAAUUUUCUAAAGAUAUCAGAUCUCAGACUAUGGGUAACAGGAGAAAUGAAAGCAACAUGUUUCACAUGUGGCACAAUGGCAAUCUAACGCUGGAGAGAUGGAAAAGCAAAAUGACUAAUAGGCAGAAACAGAGGAGAGUCGAAAGUCAGAAAAUCAGUUUAUGGGGAUAAGUCCCAUAACAUUGAAGGAAUGGAGAAAACACACAAACGAUAGGAUCCUGAUCUUUGGGUAAUAAAUAAGGCAAUUUGCAUGCACAAGUGGCUCAAAAUGGAAUUGUAUGGGAAGAAAACCAAGCAAUAAUUCAAAGUGAAAAAUCAUCCCAUCCUCAAAUAAAAACGCAACUCUUCUGAUCAAAUAAUAUAGUCAACCAACCAGUUCUCGUCAAUGUAGAGAAGUACUUUUGGUAGAGGGUUCAGUGUAAGAUUCACAAAGACUCAUGCGGGAAGAGUGACUGUGUUUUUCUGAAGGCCAAGGUCAUGACCUUUAGACAUAAAGCACUUGCUAUGUU